GACGAACGCUGGCGGCGCGCCUAACACAUGCAAGUCGAACGGAGCUGAGAGAAGCUUGCUUUUCUUAGCUUAGUGGCGAACGGGUGAGUAACGCGUGAGUAACCUGCCCUGGAGUGGGGGACAACAGUUGGAAACGACUGCUAAUACCGCAUAAGCCCACGAUCCGGCAUCGGAUUGAGGGAAAAGGAUUUAUUCGCUUCAGGAUGGACUCGCGUCCAAUUAGCUAGUUGGUGAGGUAACGGCCCACCAAGGCGACGAUUGGUAGCCGGACUGAGAGGUUGAACGGCCACAUUGGGACUGAGACACGGCCCAGACUCCUACGGGAGGCAGCAGUGGGGGAUAUUGCACAAUGGCGGAAACCCUGAUGCAGCGACGCCGCGUGGAGGAAGAAGGUUUUCGGAUUGUAAACUCCUGUCGUGAGGGACGAUAAUGACGGUACCUAACAAGAAAGCACCGGCUAACUACGUG
rnacentral:rRNA from 1 species